AUGGAAACCCCGGCCUCACACUAUCACAAUGUGGCUGCUGCUGGGGUCUCUAUGAAAACCAGCUCCUACCAUGAAGGAAGGGGCUGCUGGGAAAUGGAGUCUGGCUGCCAGCCAGAUCCACCAUUUUGCUCAUCCCUGGUCUAACCUGUGGGCUGAUAGCUAGACCACUGUCCUGGGAAGUGGGAGCUGCAAAUUGAAACCUACUGUGAGUGAGAGCAGAAACACAAAAUCUGGUGGUUGUCCUUGCUUAGUAAGUGCUUUAACUACUAAGAUAUUGGUCCAAAAGGUGGGAGGUGCCCCUCCUCUAUUUUGCUUCCAUCAGGUGUGUCACAACCCAAUGAUUUUAGUGCCUUGGCACGGUGGAAUUUUCCCACCACAUGAGAGUCUCUGUGCACAGCAAAAGUUUUCUGUUGCAACAGAAAACUCCGGUGCAAGAGAGUUCCCGCCAUUUGUAUGCAAAUUUGUGUCCCACUAUUGGCCAGUUCUCAAUUAUUCCUACGUGGUGGUUAGCGAUUGGCUUGUUAGCCAUAUAAAAUUCUGUGCGACUUCCGCCCAAGUCGGAGAACUUUUGAGAACGCUGCAGAGUGACUUUGAAGAUUCCCGACUUGUGGCUGAGCUAAUCGAUAGCCUAAUCAACUAUCGAUUUUUCUCCCCAUCGCCGAGUGCCAUCCUUCGAAGUACCCUUUUCCCUGCCGGCCUGGUUCGUGUACGGAUUCGCUGGCCUGAGUCUUGCCAGCUGGAGCAACUCGUGUGAUUAUUUAAGCAACCGGACCACCUGUGUCGCGGCUACUGGCGGCCAAUAAAUUGGUUUGUCUGUAUUUAUCCUACUAAACAUCACCUGCCUCUCAUAGAAUCAAGAGGACUAACUGGCUAUUCCAUGAGAGAGCCUGCUCUUCUGAGGUCUGUAACCUGAUUUUUCAAACUCAAAAAGGAUUUCAUUUUUGUUUUCUUCACCAAAUUGCAGAGACAUAAUGAGAACAAGGCUCAAGUAUAUUAACAGCAAAGACACAAGAUUCAUGAUGCACAUCCUGAACCAUGAUAUAACCCAAGAAACCUGCUGAAAUACUACAAAUAAAAGUAAUAGAAAUCUAAACGGGAUGAAGCUGUUACAAGCAGCAAGGAGAGGGGAGCAGUGCCACUGCCACUGCCUGUGCCCGAGACUGCAUCCCUUCCAUGCGCAGCAGCUAUAACCCUGGCACCCCCACCAUGACAACAACCACAACCAGCAUCACCAGCACCAGCACAGCAGCCUACUCCUCUCCUAUGUCACUUCCCAUGCUGAGCCUUCCAGUGCCAGAAGAAGAGCUGGUGCUGGAUCUGGAUCUCAGUGCCCUAGCAAGGGAAAUUCUGGGGAAGGAGGGGGAAUCAGCUGAUUUUGUGCUCGACACCCCUCAAGUUUCUCUUUGAGCCAGGUCUCCUUCCCCAGAAGGCACUUCAGAGGAUGUUGAUGUAAAGGUGGAGGCAAGUGAUUCAGAUGAGUCCGCUCCUCCUCUUACCAUGCCUCUUCCAGCUGAGAGGGGGAAAGUGCAGCAGCAUCCACAGAUGCACCCGCACCCCUGAAGCAAGUGGGUAGUGUUGUCUGGGAUCACUUUGAGCUGGCAGAUGAUCCCACAUAUGCUAUCUGCCUGCACUGUCAAGCCAAAACCAGCCAGGGCAAGGGAAAAAAAAAAACAACACAUGAGCACCACAGGGAUCCUGAUGCAUCUCUGCAGGCAUCACCCCCUUGCCCUUGCUCCUCCUCAGCCUGGCACCAGUGUGUUAUGCCUCAGCUCUGUAUUCUUGGGCAACCCUGGCACAGGAUGCAGUCUGUCUGACUCACAAAGGACUCACCCCCCCUCCCUCCGCUCCUCUACCUAAACGAAACUGAUUAAGAUGCAGUGAGAGACACACCUAAGACCCUCAAGAUAAGGGUGACAAGAGUGAACCAACUGCCCUAGAUCUCAUUUACAUCCGAGAUGGAACCAGAUGACCAUUCAUUUACAUGAGAGAUGGAGAACAGAAAGCCUGAAGCAGAGACUGCAGUGAAUUCUGGGACCAGAAAAGCAGGGGAGCACUGCAUGAUGGGGAAUCUGUGCUUCAAAUGUUAAUCAACCCAUGUUCACACACACCCAGCUCAGCAUUUAUCAGACCAGUUCUAAUCUGGAUUUACUAAGGACUUUCCCCCCCCCCAGACACACACACACAGCUCUAAGUUUAAUAGGUAUCUUGGGCUGUACAUUCCCCGGUCCCACUAUGGGAGGCCUAUUUAAACUUGAUUGACUAAAACUCGGUUGCCGGGUUAGGGAAUGCUGAUGCAAGAGACCGAGUCCGAGGGGGUAUGGGCAACAUUUGAACAAUGGUUAAGGGUUCAUCACAGCAUCCAGCCUGCUGGAGCCCUAAUCACAGGUGUUGUCAUACCUUUCCUGAGAUGACUGGUGGGAGUCCUUUCCACAAAAGGUUAUGAGCACCCCAGUAAUUGUCUUAAGUCUGCUAAAAGACUAUAGUAAAAUAUGGAAAAGUCAUGCUAAGCUGAGGCUUGUGCACAACAAGUAAAAAUCCAAAAUCCUGAUGCUGCAAGCUAUCUAUUGUUCCUGAAGAAACCAUGAGAUAUCCCAUCAGUAUAUCUGCCAUCCAUAGGAAUCUCAAGCUGGCUCCCAAGUAUUUGGGUUACUCCCUAAUCUUAAGUGUUUCCUGAUUAUCAAUCAGUUUCCUGAGAUGGUCCAAACCAGAUAACCCCUUGUCAAUAGAAAAGACAAUGAUUUACACUACUGAGGGUGCUUCGAAGCAGCUGAACUGAGGGUAUAAAAUCUGUAAAAAGUGUGCGCGCUUCAAGAAGAGGAAAGAAGAAGGAGGAGAGAAGAAGAAGAAGGAAGA